CCCGAACUCCGCCACCAGAAGUGGCUUCCGGAGCACAUUUCUGGCGUCGUCGAUGUGGGCGUCCAGCCAGUUGUUGAGGAACGCUAGCUGGGAUUGUUCGUCCGGCGUCGACAACCUGUUCGGCGAAUUGUCUCAUUGCAGAGAAACCAAAGGAUAAGCUGAGCACUAACCCUGUAACACAUGGUGCCAGGCUUUUGGAUUGUGGAAGUUUGAGGUUGUCAGAGAAUGGUUAUGACUUAAUUAUGAUUUCAACUUCUUCAAACCUAAACAAAGAGACUAAUGCGAUGGUUUGGCAAGUGGUUGGAUCGCCAUGGAUGGAGAGCUUAAUUAGCCUCAUGAGGUGGUUUAGAAUGUGAUAAGAAUAGUUAAGAAGGUUUACUGGGUCAGCCAGCUUUCUUAGGAAAGAAAUCAUUGUUGUUUGUUUUCUCAUAAUUAAUUGUCUUAUUUGUAAGUACUGAUUAAUUAAUUAAUUAAUUAAUAAUAAAAUUAAUUCUAUUAUUCUUAA